CACGGAGGGUGCAAGCGUUAUCCGGAUUUACUGGGUUUAAAGGGUGCGUAGGCGGCAUUUUAAGUCGGUGGUGAAAGCCUGGCGCUUAACGCCAGAAAUGCCAUUGAUACUGAGAUGCUUGAGUCAAGAAGAGGUAAGCAGAAUUCAUGGUGUAGCGGUGAAAUGCAUAGAUACCAUGAGGAAUUCCAAUAGCGAAGGCC
rnacentral:rRNA from 1 species